GAAAUUGCUGAGACACUUACAGAGUGGACGAAAGGGGGGGAAGAGUCCCCAUGAGAGGAUAGAGUGGAAUCAAGAGUGUGAAGAAGCGUUUGUCGAGUUAAAGAAGCAAUUGUGUCAAGUGCCAGCAUUGGGAUUGCCAAACAUAAAAUUAUCUUUAAAAAAAAUGUUGUUAAUGAACAGGAAAAACAUUGUAGCGUGAUGGUUACGAAAAAAGGGCCAAGAGGAAUGCCACCGUACCUUAGGGCGGUACAGGCGACAGAAACGGUGUUACAUAACACGGCUUCCAUUACAAUGGGUCAAAAAGUAGAUUUGUAUGUUACACACGCAGUAGCAACCAUAGUGGACAGCACGAAAGCACAACAUGUUACUAGUGCAAGAUGAACAAACUGGGAGUUAACGUUAAAUGGGGAAAACUUACAAAUUAAUAAGGGGAGGGUGAAUCGCAUACAUGUGACCCAGAUCAGAUUACUCCAAAACCUUUUUUUUUGCAAGAAACAGCAUUGGAAUCGGGAAAAUAUUGUAUACAGAUGGCUAAUUACAUGAACACAGAAGGGAAGAGUAACGGGCAUUUGGAGUAGUUCAUGAUUUGGGUACAUUGUGGUCACAACGGGGCAUGUUAACAGUGACAGGAACAGCAAUGAAAAAAUGGUCUGGAGGUAGAGGCAUCAGAAGCAUGUCAGUUACCCAGUAAAUGAACAGUCGUGAAAUGUGAAGCUCAUACUAGUCGUACAGAUAAAAUCGCCAUAGGUAAUCGUAAAGCAGACGAAAUGGCUAAGGCGGCUGCCUUGGUGAGAGAAAGUGUUAGUGAACCACAUGUAAAUAUUGCAGAUUCCUUACGAUGAGAAAUUGGCUAAAUUUGCCACAGGAAAACGUGUUUUGGGUUGAAGAUUCCAUCCUUGAAGGAGGAUGGAAAUGUUUUGAAGAGGUUAUCAUGGAAGGUGACGUCAGAUCGUGUCUUAAUGCAUGGAAGGAAAAAUUUGACCAUAGACAGCGUGUGUAGCCCUCAAAAGACCUCAAAACCCUCCCUAACAGGCUGAAGAAAGUGCGACAAAGGCGUGCAAUGAGAGAGACAGUGACUUUUACCACUCCUAUCUGAGUCCGAGCCAUAAACCAGGGCCGGGGUGCUGAGAGCGCGUGUGGAGUGAGCGUGGAGAGAGAACAAGCUCAGGGGUGAUGUGUGCUAAGUUGAUCAACUGGAAUUUGAGCCCUAGACUCAAAGUAAGCACUGAGGUCAGUCCUUCUAAAUUUGGGUUGGAUAAUUGAUAAAAAUGUUUUAGUUGUGAUUGGGAUACAGCGAGAGAGAAUUGCUGAAGCAGAAAAUGUAGAAAAUGCAUUAGGAGUAUAGUGUGUCAUGGGUUAUAUGUAAUGAUAGAGGAGUAUCAUUCCCAGAGACUGCAUAUUGUUUCAGGAGGUGGCUCAUAGAAGAAGGAGGACAACUAACUGUCCACAAUAUGGGGAUUUAGUUGAACAUUACACAUACAUAGAUCAUGGUGAGAGUAGAAGAGAUAGUGGUGGCAUGUCAGACACUAUGGUAAACUUUUAGGACACCUGUGACUCAGAGUUUUGUUUGUUUGGAUAUUAUUCCCAACUCAUUUUGUUUUUCUCCAAUUUCUAACAGCCGGCGAACAUUUGACAAAUUGCAUGCACUAGGUAUUCUCACGGCAGGCGCUGUAGGGACAGUAACUGAAGGAGCUGUAGGGACAGUAACUGAAGGCACAGUACUAGUAGCAAAGGAUGCUAUAUUGACAGCAUGGAAUUGGACUACUGCGCAAAUGAGGGGUAUUGUGAGACUGUAGUCAUGGGCCAUGUUGGAAGUAGCAAUGUUAACUUUAGUAGCAUUGUUGGGAUAUCAGUUAAUGACAACUCAUGUCACAUGGAUUGGUAUCUGGUAACUAGGGGACCGAUGGGAGGGAAGGGGAUGAGGUUACUCAAAUAUCACAAAUGAUGUUGUCAGGAAAUGACCCAUGUGUUGCAGUGUGUAUAUCCUCAGGUGAAAGCAGAGAUAUAACCAAGGGCACAGGCUGAAUACUGGAGAUUGAGUGUACAUCAAGAGACACCAGGCGGGGGUGUUGGGACAGCAUUGGUUUGGGACACAAAAUACUCCAUACAGUACCUGCAGCGGUAAAUAUCGUCAUGUCUCUCCUUGGGGGGUGCAUAGUUCUCACGUGAAGUGAGGUCCAGCUGCAUAAUGGGUGAGUGAAAACAUCAUGACAGAGGAAGCGGAGCGAGAGAGAGAGAGAGAGACUAGAUUCCCCUGUAAGACAUACAGAUGGGUUGGGUCUGGGAGCUACUUUAAACAUCAUAGUUGGGUUGGGUUAGCUGCUUUAUUGGUUAAUGCAUCAUAUUAUAGAGGAUAGAGGGGUAAUUGUUCUCUGAACAAAAUGUUGAAGGCAUUGAGCAUUGAUGUGAAAGCACAUACUGUACUGAGUUACCUCAAGAGGAUGUAACGUUGAUUAGGGAUAAGCACUUGCAUAUCAGGUGAAAUGCAGGAGAUGGGGAACAAAGUGAAAAUGACAUGACUUGGGAACACCUCUCGGAACCUGGGGCCAAAAGGAGAAGACUGGGCGAAAGCAUGAGGAAGCUUUGUAGAGCUUUCAUUUUUGUGGAAACCCUCAGGAAAGUAUCCGGGAGGCAUAGGGUCGGGUGAAGAGAGAGUGGGAAUUGUCAGGGUCUCAGACUUUGGUUUUCAUGCAUAUAUAAUUAUACAUAGCUUAUCACAUUGUUAAUAUUGUAAUGUUUUAUGUAUUUUUGUUGCUUUCCAAGUCUUGUGCUAUUACUCUCUUAGGAACCAGAAGGGGGAAGUGGAGAAACUAAAAGCUGCUCCAUCUGACAUAGAACGAGACCGCAGAUUCAGCUGGAAUUGCAUUUUGUUGUGUAAUGAUAGAUGGAAAUAAAAUUGUGUGAUCAUAGUACAGAGGCCAUAAGUCUCUGAAAUUGAAAACCAGUGAAUGUUUGUUCAUUGUUUGUUCCAUUUGUUAGCUUGUUUAAUUCAUGUUUUAUUAUCAUUGUUUAUCCAUUUAUUAGUCAUUUGCAAGUUUAUGUAAAUUGAACAUUAGGACGCUAUUGUUCAAGAGGAAGGACUGUUGGAAUCGGCUAAACUUUGAACAUUGAGAUAUUAAAUAAAUGAUAGGAAAGGAGCAUAGAAUCAAAGGAGUGAAAGAGACUGGGUUUUAUGUCAGAAGUUAAUGGUUCUCUGAAGAAAGACAGAUGUCUUUGGAAUGUGUUGGGUGGACGGGAGAAGCAACGUGCUGAAAUAGGGGAGACAGAUAGACAUCUGUGGAUUAGGUGAAGGAGGGGUUGAGGUCAGGAGGUGAGGUCAGAUUCCCUUAAGGGAGUAAUAAGGGUUUAAUAUCUUGUUACUCUCUUCCUGUAGAACCAUAAGAUGUAAGGAUAAGAUGUAAGGAUUGGAGAGAAGGAGGAGUGUCUUAAGUGGGAUGAAUAUAACUGUGAUGGUGAGAAAUCUUUUGCUGUCUGAAUAACAGCUGUAUAGAUCCUUUGGGCAGAAUUAACUUGGUUAAAGCUUCUCUAGUGUCCGUGAGUUACUUACUCUGAAAAAUAAGAACCUAACACUAGCCUCUGUGCUUCUACAUCUGCAUUGCUUGCUCUUUGGAAUUUUAGGCUGGGUUUAUGCAUAAACACUUUGUGACAUCUGCUGAUGUAAAAGGAGCUUUAUAAAUACAUUUCAUUGAUUGAAUUUGAUUGAAAUCACUUUUUCAUGUGGCCGAAACUGACAGCUGAAAAAAAAUGUGUUAUGAAUAUCUACAGCAAUUAAUUGCUGUGGCAUAAUGCAUCUGUGCACUCUAUCAACCUCCUUGGAAAGGUCAAAAACUCGUUUGAGAUUUAUGUUGUGAUUUUCUAUUAAUUUAAACAGGUCUGAAUUUGACAUUUCAGCUGGUGUUUCCAAUGGUCUUCAGAAGGCCUAGCUGUGUCCACUCUCAGCAAAUGACAAAUGGCUUUUCAAAAAAGGACAUACAUUCUGACCCUUUCUUUUUCACAAUUCCAUAUACCCAGAACCCCAGAAAUAAAACAAUACAUUUUGUGGAACAUGAACCAACAAUGGAUGCCCUCCAGGAGCUUAUUAUACUUUACAUUUUCUCCAAGUAAGGUAUCUCCAAUCAAUUAGAGGUCUUACC